AGAAUCAACGCUGGCGGCGUGCCUAACACAUGCAAGUCGCACGAGAAAGGGGAGCAAUCCCUGAGUACAGUGGCGCACGGGUGAGUAACACGUGACUACCUACCCUCGAGUGGGGAAUAACCUCGGGAAACCGGGCUAAUACCGCAUAACAUCUACGGAUCAAAUGCGAAAGCAGCUUGAGGAGGGGGUCGCGGCCGAUUAGCUAGUUGGUGAGGUAAUGGCCCACCAAGGCAAUGAUCGGUA
rnacentral:rRNA from 1 species